AUGGAAAUCAGGCCUUCAUUAUCCCGGACGUGUUUGCUGAAGGUCAUUGAGGAUGGGAACCUUCCUUUUGAAGUCGUGUUCAAAUUGACUGAGCAGAUCAAUACUAUAAAGAAUAGGAUCAUUGACACUGCCAUUCAGAUGACUGCGCUUCAUCGCUUUCUGGUUUUAAAACUUUUGAAGAAUCUCUCUCUGCUGCUGAAAUCCCGUUGGCAGAAGAGUCCAUCGCUGCAGAGGGAAGCAGUUUCAGUGAUUGGGUUUCUCAUGACAGAUUAUUUUAGUCAUUUUUAUUAAGCGUCCAGCUCGGGUCCCCUGAGUGUUGGGGGUCCGAGGCAGAGGCUUACCUUUGCAGAAAGUCCAGCCCUGGUCCAUGUAUGUUAGAGUAAGACAGCUGAAAAAACAAUACUCACCUUUUAACAUAUUAAUGUUUUUUUUUAAAAUACAGUAAUGUGUAUUUUUAUACAUAACUGCAGUUGUUCUACUGAGUCAGAAACAAGUUGUUCCGGCUCAGGUUAGCCUUUGCUGAGUCUGUAGGAUCUGACUGUUUCCUAUCAUCAUCUGUCAUUUGUCUGUCAUCUGGGAACUUUAAGAGAAGAAAGAUCUGGCAGUGACCUGCUAAGUUGAUGGAGAAUGAUUCCGUCAGUCAAAUCCUCGGACAUGUCACCAUUUUCUGAUGUUGCUCUGAGGGCAUAACAACUGAACCUGUCACAAAAUGUUGAGAGCGGCCUUUAAAUAUGGCGUGCCGGGCAAUCAUUUAAGAGUGGAGGGCAUCAGUCAGCGUCAGAUCCACCAAAGUGCAGACUUCUGAAGGUUGGUAGAUGCCAGCAGGCCCUUCUGUUCAUGCUCUCCUAUUGACAGCAUCUGUAACGACCAAAUGCUGGACUGUGAAUGCACCGGUAAGAGUCAGUGAUUUUAGGUCCAUAGUAUUACUAUAACACAAACACUAAAGCAUUCACACAUUCUGACGUUUUUUUCAACCUCUGGGCCUUUUGGUUGAUGAGGUUGCGGUUUCCUAGUUCUCUCCUGGAUGAAGGUUAGGAGGAAACAUCUGCAGCCCUUCAAAAUAAGGGUCAUGAAGAACCAACCUCCAAACAGAAAGGAAAGAAAAACUACUUAUUUACAUUAUUGUUGCUCCUAUAUUCUAAUUUUAACUCAGUUUUCCUUGCGGCUUGUCACGGUUAAGCGUAUAGUACAGUUGCAGGUAUCACACUGGACUCUAGUGGCAUUCCAG
rnacentral:lncRNA from 1 species